rnacentral:rRNA from 1 species
UGGGGAAUAUUGCACAAUGGAGGGAACUCUGAUGCAGCGACGCCGCGUGAACGAAGAAGGCUUUCGGGUCGUAAAGUUCUUUUAUAUGGGAAGAUAAUGACGGUACCAUAAGAAAAAGCCCCGGCUAACUACGUGCCAGCAGCCGCGGUAAUACGUAGGGGGCUAGCGUUGUCCGGAAUCACUGGGCGUAAAGGGUUCGCAGGCGGAAAUGCAAGUCAGGUGUAAAAGGCAGUAGCUUAACUACUGUAAGCAUUUGAAACUGCAUAUCUUGAGAAGAGUAGAGGUAAGUGGAAUUUUUAGUGUAGCGGUGAAAUGCGUAGAUAUUAAAAAGAAUACCGGUGGCGAAGGCGACUUACUGGGCUCAUUCUGACGCUGAGGAACGAAAGCGUGGGUAGCAAACAGG